GGAAGAAAUGCAUUACUCUUUACGUUAGCAAUUGCAAGGUCUGUUGGAAACAAAUCACAGCGCCUGUCUGUUGGUAAUACCAGGGAAGUGAACAAGCGUUUAUGGAGCUAAGAUCAAUGGAGGGCGACACAAUGUUUGUAAACAAGAGACAAAGAUUUGUCGUGAUCAAUCAGAGACACGUGUAUAAAUUCAUAAUCUGUUAAAUAAUGGCGAGCAGUUCCCAAGCCUUGACGUCGGGAGGAGCAUUAACAUUGAUGAAAGGACAUUCCUACGAAAAGUAAACAGUGGUGUUCUGUUCUGUAGGUUUCCUAGAUCGAACAAUAAAAUAGUGCCCAAUGUUACCAAGACUAUCAUUGGAAUGUAUUCAGCUGUAAAUUGUUUUUUUUUUUAAAUAUAAUUUAUUAUGUGCGGAGUGAUCCUACUUAAAUUUUGAAAUAGUAAACAAGAAGUAUCUCCUUCUCUUGAUAAAAUACUCACUUUGGUAUGGUACUACUUUCUGUAUAUAUUAACGAAUCCAACCCUUUAGUAUAUGCCAAGUAGAUAAUUAUACAGAUACUAGAGGAAAGUCUAGUUCUAAUUCUGAUUGUGGAUUUCACAAAUACGUCCACCCUCCACCAUUUUCUUUUACCCACUUUUUGCAACCUGUUUGGCUUCAGAAAGAUUUAUUUGCAUGUAUCAAUCACAAUAGAAUUUAGAUAUAGAAUUUGUUUUGUUUCAUUCAGCUUUUCAAAUAAAAAUCUUUUCCACGCUC